UAGGGAAUCUUCCACAAUGGACGCAAGUCUGAUGGAGCAACGCCGCGUGAGUGAAGAAGGUUUUCGGACCGUAAAGCUCUGUUGUUGGUGAAGAAGGAUAGAGGUAGUAACUGGCCUUUAUUUGACGGUAAUCAACCAGAAAGUCACGGCUAACUACGUGCCAGCAGCCGCGGUAAUACGUAGGUGGCAAGCGUUGUCCGGAUUUAUUGGGCGUAAAGCGAGCGCAGGCGGAAGAAUAAGUCUGAUGUGAAAGCCCUCGGCUUAACCGAGGAAUUGCACCGGAAACUGUUUUCUUGAGUGCAGAAGAGGAGAGUAGAACUCCAUGUGUAGCGGUGGAAUGCGUAGAUAUAUGGAAGAAUACCAGUGGCGAAGGCGGCUCUCUGGUCUGCAACUGACGCUGAGGCUCGAAAGCAUGGGUAGCGAACAGGAUUAGAUACCCUGGUAGUCCAUGCCGUAAACGAUGAGUGCUAAGUGUUGGGAGGCUUCCGCCUCUCAGUGCUGCAGCUAACGCAUUAAGCACUCCGCCUGGGGGAGUACGACCGCAAGGUUGAAAC
rnacentral:rRNA from 1 species